AACAGCCAUUGACCUGGAUGGACCUAGGACACACACUAAAGGACACAUCUGGAUUCACCAAGGAGCUUUUUAUAUCUCACAAAAUAGCAUGUUGCUAAUAAGAAGAAUAAAAUGAAACCAAGGUACAAAAUGAUGUUCUGAGUUAUGAAUACAAUGUGAAAUAAUUAAAUCAAACUAACUAAUAUAUCCAUCACCUCAAAUAUUUAGCAUUUUUUGUGGUGAGGCCAUUUGAAAUAUACUUCCUAAGGAAUUUUGAAAUGUAAAAUAUGCAGUUAUUAACUGUACUCACCAAGCCGUGCAAUAGAUUUCAAAAAAAAAUUUAUUUCUCCUGUCUAACUGGAUUUUUGGCCAUCAUGUCCCCAUAUUCCUCCCCUGCUAGCCUCUGUAACCCCCAUUUUACUCUCUGCUUCUUUGAGUUUGACUGUUUUUGACUUAACAUAUAGGUAAGAUCAUACUAUAUCUGUCUUCCUGUGUCUGGCUCAUUUCACUUAGCAUAGAGUUCUCUAAUCUCAUCCAUGUUGCCACAAAUGACAGAAUUUCCUUCUUUUAAAGGCUGAAUAGUAUCCCAUUGUAUAUAGGUACCAUAUUUACUUAUCCAUUCAUCCACUGAUAGACACCUAGGUUAAUUCUAUAACUUGACUAUUGUCCAUAGUGCUGCAAUGAACAUGAGAGUACAAACAUCUCUUUGACAUACUGAUUUCAAAUAUUUUGGGUAAAUAGCCCAAAGGGGGACUGCAGGAUCACAUGGCAAUUCUAGUUUUAGUUUUUGAGGAACGUUUAUACAGUCUUUCAUAAAAGCUGUACUAAUUUAAAACCCCACCAACAGUGUACACGGGUUCUUUUUUUUUCCACAUCCUUGCCAACAUUUGUUACCUUUUGUCUUUCUGAUGAUAAUAGCCAUUCUUGAUUAGUAGUUCUGAGCAUUUUUUGAUAUAUCUGUUGGUCAUUUGUUUGUCUUCUGUGGAGAAAUGUCUAUUCAGAAAACUUGCCCAAUUUUAAAUUGGGUUAUCUGUUUUCUUGCUAUUGAGUUAUUUGAGUUCCUUAUAUAUUUUCAACACUAACACUUUAUGAGACAUAUGGCUAGAAAAUAUUUUCACCGAAUCCGUAGGUUGACUCCUUACACAUUAAUUGUUUUCUUCAUUGCACAGAAGCUUUUUAGUUUAAUAUAUUCCCCUUUGUCUAUUUUUGUUUUUGUUGCCUAUACUUUGGGGAUCAAAUCCAAAAAAUCAUUGCCCUCACCAAUGUCACGUAGUUUUUUUUUCCUUCAUUUUCUCUUAAUCGUUUAUGGUUUCUGGUCCUAUAUUUAAAUCUUGAAUUCAAUUUGAGUUGAUUUUUGUAUGUGGUGUGAGAUGAGUCCAAUUUCAUUCUUCUGUAUGUGAUUAUCCAGCUUUUCCAGAACAACUUCUUGAAGACACUAUUUUUUUUCCAUGAUGUAUUCUUGGCACCUUUGUCAAAAAUCAAUUGAUCACACAUAUAUGGGUUCAUUUUUGGACUCUCUAUUUUGUGUUAUUAAUAAAUGUGUCUACUUCUAUGCCAGCACCCUGCUGUUUUAAUUACUGUAGCUUCGUGGUAUAGCUUGAAAUCAGAUCAUAUAACACUUCUCCCUUUGUUGUCCUUUUGUUCAUGAUUUCCUUGGCUAUUUAGGGCACUAUAUUCAUUUUAAUUAUUUUUUGUGACAUUAUUUUAAUAAAACAAAACCACUUAAUAUCUUGUUAAUCAUAUUGGAACAUACUCUUUCAGGUCGUAUAAAUAUCUGACCAUUGACCUCAACAACUUUUUCUCCAUGACCAACUUUACUCACCAUUAAAAUGGGAAUUGCUGUUUCUCUGAAAAAUGAAGAAGAAAUAUGUAUGUUAAUUACCGGGUUUAAUACAAUUUUUAUUAAUCUGUUCAGUAGAUAAUUUGACAAAUAUUUUUUGAGCAUCUAUGUUAUGCUAAAUGUCAGGAAAACAUGGUGAGUAAUACAGACCUAGGCUUUUCCUAGGAGGGGCCUAACUUAAAGGGAAAGACAAAUAGCAACUUUGCCUGGCAAGUGUGAAAUAUUUCCAGGAUACAUAAAAGGAGAGCUAACUUAGUUCCUUUCUGAGACUGGUUCAGGAGAAAUGAUCCAGAAGAUGUAGAGAGCGCAUGGGGAAAAAAUUUCUGGGGAGAAGGAAUGGUCUGUUUCAAGAAACAAUUUGAAGUCAAUAAAAACAUAGUCAAGUUACCCAGCUCCUAAUCUCCAGUUCCAUAUCUGUAAGUAAUCAUGCCCAAUUCCUAGCUAGGGUGUGUUGUUGAAAUUUACAUAUAGUAAACUCCUAGAGCAGGACCUGUAAGUAAUGAACAGACCACCUAUCAUGACUAUGAUAUGGUCCCAAGUGAAUGGAGAAGAGGAAGCAGAGAGAAAGCAGGAGAUGAGAGUGUGGGAGUACAAGGGCCAGGUUAUGCAAUGUCUUGCAAACUAUGUUACAGAUUCUUGACUUUAUACUAAAUUUUAAGAAAAAUAGUGACAUGUUAUGAUUAAUUUAUUUAAACAUUAUUUGACCACUGUAUAGGGAAUGGAUUGAAGGAAAGAAAGAGUGGAUGAAGAGAACCCAGUAAGAGGGUGUUAUGAACAGAAGGUUGUGUCUCCCCAAAAUUUUUAUGUUUAAACCCUAACCUCCAAUUCGAUUGUUUUAGCAGGUGGGGUACUUCGGACAUAAUUAAAUUGAGAUGUGGUCAUAAGAGGGGGUCACUAUAAUGGGAUGAAUGUCCUGGUAAGAAGAGAAGACAGACCAGAAGUUAAUUUCUCUCCAUCAUAUUAGGACACAACAAAUGGUGCCCCCCUGUAAAAUCUAAAGAGGGCCCUCACCAAAAACUAAAGCUGCUGGCACCUUGACCUUGGACUUCCUUGC
rnacentral:lncRNA from 1 species